AGAGUUUGAUCCUGGCUCAGGACGAACGCUGGCGGCGUGCCUAACACAUGCAAGUCGAACGGAGAAGUUGAUUUCGGUUGACUUCUUAGUGGCGAACGGGUGAGUAACGCGUGAACAACCUGACCUCAAGAGGGGGAUACCAACGAGAAAUCGUUGUUAAUACCGCAUAAGACCACAACGUCGCAUGGCGAAGGGGUCAAAGGAGCAAUCCGCUUGAGGAGGGGUUCGCGUCCCAUUAGGUAGUAGGCGGGGUAACGGCCCACCUAGCCGGCGAUGGGUAGCCGAGCUGAGAGGCUGAACGGCCACACUGGAACUGAGACACGGUCCAGACUCCUACGGGAGGCAGCAGUGGGGAAUAUUGGGCAAUGGGCGCAAGCCUGACCCAGCAACGCCGCGUGAGGGAAGAAGGUUUUCGGAUUGUAAACCUCUGUCGCAGAUGACGAAGGAAGUGACGGUAAUCUGUGAGGAAGCCCCGGCUAACUACGUGCCAGCAGCCGCGGUAAUACGUAGGGGGCGAGCGUUGUCCGGAAUUACUGGGCGUAAAGGGAGCGUAGGCGGCCGAUUAAGUUGGAUGUGAAAUCCCCGGGCUUAACUUGGGUGGUGCAUCCAAUACUGGUUGGCUAGAGUACAGGAGAGGAAAGCGGAAUUCCUAGUGUAGCGGUGAAAUGCAUAGAUAUUAGGAGGAACAUCGGUGGCGAAGGCGGCUUUCUGGACUGACACUGACGCUGAGGCUCGAAAGCGUGGGGAGCAAACAGGAUUAGAUACCCUGGUAGUCCACGCUGUAAACGAUGAAUACUAGGUGUAGGGGGUGUAAACUCCCCCUGUGCCGCAGCUAACGCAAUAAGUAUUCCGCCUGGGGAGUACGGCCGCAAGGUUGAAACUCAAAGGAAUUGACGGGGGCCCGCACAAGCAGCGGAGCAUGUGGUUUAAUUCGACGCAACGCGAAGAACCUUACCAAGGCUUGACAUCCACUUAAGCUCAUGGAAACAUGAGGUCCCUUCGGGGGAAGUGAGACAGGUGGUGCAUGGUUGUCGUCAGCUCGUGUCGUGAGAUGUUGGGUUAAGUCCCGCAACGAGCGCAACCCC
rnacentral:rRNA from 1 species